rnacentral:rRNA from 1 species
GGUAUUGAAAUAAGAUUUUAAAUGAGUGCUAAGAGAAUGAUUAAACAAUUAAAAGCUUUCUUUAAUUAAAAAGUUAAAUUUAAUUUUUUUAGUGCAAAAGCAAAAAUAAAAUUUAGGGACAAGAAGACCCUAUGAAUUUUUAUUGUUAAUAAUUAAAAUUUAAGUUAUUAAUAAUUUAAUUGGGGCGAUAAAAAAAGAAUAAGUAUCUUUUUAGUUAUAAAAUAAGUUCCGUUUUUAGCGAUUAAAUGAAAUAAAUACUCUAGGGAUAACAGCGUAAUAA